rnacentral:rRNA from 1 species
AGUGAACGCUGGCGGUAGGCCUAACACAUGCAAGUCGAACGGCAGCACAGUAAGAGCUUGCUCUUACGGGUGGCGAGUGGCGGACGGGUGAGGAAUACAUCGGAAUCUACUUUUUCGUGGGGGAUAACGUAGGGAAACUUACGCUAAUACCGCAUACGACCUACGGGUGAAAGCAGGGGAUCUUCGGACCUUGCGCGAUUGAAUGAGCCGAUGUCGGAUUAGCUAGUUGGCGGGGUAAAGGCCCACCAAGGCGACGAUCCGUAGCUGGUCUGAGAGGAUGAUCAUCCACACGGGAACUGAGACACGGUCCAGACUCCUACGAGAGGCAGCAGUGGGGAAUAUUGGACAAUGGGCGCAAGCCUGAUCCAGCCAUACCGCGUGGGUGAAGAAGGCCUUCGGGUUGUAAAGCCCUUUUGUUGGGAAAGAAAAGCAGCAGGUUAAUACCCCGCUGUUCUGACGGUACCCAAAGAAUAAGCACCGGCUAACUUCGUG